GUGUAGAAUAAGUGGCGCACAAAGAAAGGGGUGGUGCAUGGGAUUUGUUGCCCAUUCAAAUUCAAACAUCCUUUGAAUUUGAAUGGCCAACCAAUCUUAUCAUUAUCUAUUCAAAAAUGGUGCACAAAGAAGGGGCGUGGGAAGGCUUCUGCGUGGGAAAAAAUUCAUGAGAACUCGUUUCUCAUGAAUUCAAAUGGGCGCAGGUGAGUGAGGUGGCGCAGGGAGAUAAAUCAAAAUGGUUUCAAACCUAAUUGAACCAACUUUAUUAAAAUAGGUUAGACACAAUUAGACUAAAUUAAAUCUAACACAAUUAGGCUUAAUUAGGCUAUAUAAAAUCUUAAUCAAAUCAGAAAUUUACUAAGCCCAAUCCCUGAUCAAAUUAGAGACCAAACCACUUCGGCGAUUAGGUCAACUCUUAACCUAAUCGGGUCAAAUCCAACGGAAUCCAAUUCAAUUAGACUUGAUCCAAAAAUAAUUACUCGAUCAAAUUGAGUUAAUUAAUGAUCAAAUCACUAAUUAAACUUCUCAUAAAUACUGAAUCCAAAUCCGAUGGGCAAUCAAGCAUCAAAGUCUAUCGAUAUGAAACCU
rnacentral:lncRNA from 1 species